GCUGGGUGUGGUGGUGCACGCCUGUAAUUCCAGCUACUUGGGAGGCUGAGGCAGGAGAAUUGCUUGAAACUGGGAAGCAGAGGUUGCAGUGAGCCGAGAUUGUGUCACUGCAAGCCGGCCUGGGCAACAAAGUGAAAGUUUGUCUCGAUUUUUUUUUUUUUUUUAAGACGGAGUAUCGCUCUGUCACCCAGGCUGGAGUGCAGUGGCCAGAUCUCUGCUCACUGCAAGCUCUGCCUCCCGGGUUCACGCCAUUCUCCUGCCUCAG
rnacentral:SRP_RNA from 1 species